rnacentral:ncRNA from 1 species
GCCGAUAAAGCCAAACCACGAGUAAUCGUGGGACGGAAAGCCACGGGUCCCAGGUUUAUGGGAUCGCCAGGUUGCCGAAA